rfam:Stegodyphus mimosarum contig50921, whole genome shotgun sequence.
GCCUUAGUUGUGUAACGGUUAGAACACUCGGCGCAUAUUCGAGAGGUCCAGGUUCGAGUCCCGGCGAAGGCA